AAGAAAAGAGAGUUUUUGAAAAUUAGAAAAAAUUCAGUCCCCUAGGAAAAGAAAAGGACGGGUUCCAUAGGAGGAAACCCCGGGCUAAAAUAACGUUGCCAGCCGGCCGCGGUAAAUAUUUAUUGGGGCGAAGCGUUGUCCGGAAUUAUUGGGGCGUAAAAAGGGACGUAGGCGGUUUUUUAAAGUCAGGUGUGAAAGCCUGAGGCUUAACCUUCAUUAAGGCACUUGAAAACUGGAAGACUUGAGUGAAGGAGAGGAAAGUGGAAUUCCCUAGUGUAGCGGUGAAAUGCGUAGAUAUUAGGAGGAAUACCGGUGGCGAAGGCGACUUUCUGGACUUUUACUGACGCUCAGGUACGAAAGCGUGGGGAGCAAACAGG
rnacentral:rRNA from 1 species